UACGGAGGGUGCAAGCGUUAUCCGGAUUCACUGGGUUUAAAGGGUGCGUAGGUGGGUUGGUAAGUCAGUGGUGAAAUCUCCAGGCUUAACUUGGAAACUGCCAUUGAUACUAUCAAUCUUGAAUACCGUGGAGGUCAGCGGAAUAUGUCAUGUAGCGGUGAAAUGCUUAGAUAUGACAUAGAACAUCAAUUGCGAAGGCAGCUCGCUACACGGUUAUUGACACUGAGGCACGAAAGCGUGGGGAUCAAACAGG
rnacentral:rRNA from 1 species